UACGUAGGGGGCAAGCGUUGUCCGGAUUUAUUGGGCGUAAAGAGCGUGUAGGCGGCCAGACAGGUCUGCUGUGAAAACUCGAGGCUCAACCUCGAGACGCCGGUGGAAACCGUCUGGCUAGAGUCCGGAAGAGGAGAGUGGAAUUCCUGGUGUAGCGGUGAAAUGCGCAGAUAUCAGGAAGAACACCCGUGGCGAAGGCGGCUCUCUGGUACGUGACUGACGCUGAGACGCGAAAGCGUGGGGAGCAAACAGG
rnacentral:rRNA from 1 species